rnacentral:rRNA from 1 species
AGCUGGUCUGAGAGGAUGACCAGCCACACUGGAACUGAGACACGGUCCAGACUCCUACGGGAGGCAGCAGUGGGGAAUAUUGCACAAUGGGCGCAAGCCUGAUGCAGCCAUGCCGCGUGUGUGAAGAAGGCCUUCGGGUUGUAAAGCACUUUCAGCGGGGAGGAAGGGGGAAAGGUUAAUAACCUUUUUCAUUGACGUUACCCGCAGAAGAAGCACCGGCUAACUCCGUGCCAGCAGCCGCGGUAAUACGGAGGGUGCAAGCGUUAAUCGGAAUUACUGGGCGUAAAGCGCACGCAGGCG